UGGCUCAGUUAGUAGAGCAUGGCACUUGCGAAGCCAGGGUUGUGGGUUAGAUCCCCAC
rnacentral:tRNA from 1 species